rnacentral:lncRNA from 1 species
AUGGCCGCCUCGACGCCGGGCCAGCGCCACUCGCGCGGGGAGGAGCGGUGCAAAGCGGACCGCGGCCGCGUCCCCGCCCGGCGCCCCAGCCCAGCGCCCGCACCGGACCCGCCACCUCCGAGGCCAGCGAGCGGGAAGUGCUGCGGCUGCCGCCCCUCCCGAGACCUGGGCCGGCCCCUCGGCGGGGGGAGGCGGGCACCGCGCAACCCGAGCGGCGGGGACGCGGGAGAGCCACAGCCCCCUCCAGCGUCCGGGCCCGCGCCCUGCGCCCGCGCCGCCCCGCCCCGCUCCUCCCGGGCAGGUGCGCCCCGGAGCCUCCCUAGCCCAGCGCGUCGCCAGGGACCUGCGCCUCCCUCAGGCGUGCGGCCAGGGCCGGGCUCCGCGCGGCGCGACCGAACCGAGCGCGAGGAGCGCCACCGGCGAGACGCGAAUCCGGCCCCUGUGGCGACAAACGAACCGGGAGAGCGGGAGAUGCGUGCAAGGCGAAGCCGGGAGCGGAGGGCGGGCGGUCAGGGGCUCGGAAUCUGCAGGUCGCUUUUCGAGGUCCUGCCUAGGGCUGCUUCGCCUGCGACGUCGCGCGGGGAAGGCGGUCUUCAGGGACUCACCGAGCCCUCCCCUCCCCCGGAGCCGCAGGCACGGGCUUCCGGCACCACCCCGGGCUGCUCGGGACUCGAGCUCGGGGGAGCGACGGCCACCCCGCGCCCGCCCACGUCCUGGCCGAGCGCCCGCCGCCCGAGCGAAUCCCGGGACAGUGCCCACGCCGCCCGCCCAGCCUCAGGGGACAGUCCCCACCCCGCCCGCCCAGCAUCGGGGUCAGCGCCCGCGGGGAAUGGCGUGGGGGAGGUUAGGAGUGGCUUGGGGUGCCUGAGUGCCUUCGGGGUUUCGGGAACUCCACGGGGCGGGGAGCAAGAUUCAGGACCCAGGAGGCAGCCAUCUAGGGGCACAGUCGCCGUCCCCACCCAGCAGCUGCCGCCUUACCUUCUCCACCGGUCCCGAGCCUCCAGUCUCUCUCGCUACACGCGGCGGGAAAAGGCCUUGGCCGCAGCAAAUGACGCUCUGCCAGGUCCGGGUCAGUGGGCUCCAGCCUUGGGAGGCCACUGGCUCAGAACCCUGGGCCUUCUGCGUCUUACAGGAGUUCCCUGA